rnacentral:rRNA from 1 species
CCUACGGGGGGCAGCAGUAGGGAAUCUUCCACAAUGGGCGAAAGCCUGAUGGAGCAACGCCGCGUGGGUGAAGAAGGUCUUCGGAUCGUAAAACCCUGUUGUUAGAGAAGAAAGUGCGUGAGAGUAACUGUUCACGUUUCGACGGUAUCUAACCAGAAAGCCACGGCUAACUACGUGCCAGCAGCCGCGGUAAUACGUAGGUGGCAAGCGUUAUCCGGAUUUAUUGGGCGUAAAGGGAACGCAGGCGGUCUUUUAAGUCUGAUGUGAAAGCCUUCGGCUUAACCGGAGUAGUGCAUUGGAAACUGGGAGACUGGAGUGCAGAAGAGGAGAGUGGAACUCCAUGUGUAGCGGUGAAAUGCGUAGAUAUAUGGAAGAACACCAGUGGCGAAAGCGACUCUCUGGUCUGUAACUGACGCUGAGGUUCGAAAGCGUGGGUAGCAAACAGGAUUAGAUACCCCUGUAGUC